AUUGAACGCUGGCGGCAUGCCUUACACAUGCAAGUCGAACGGCAGCACGGGUGCUUGCACCUGGUGGCGAGUGGCGAACGGGUGAGUAAUACAUCGGAACGUACCUUAUCGUGGGGGAUAACGCAGCGAAAGCUGUGCUAAUACAGCAUACGCCCUGAGGGGGAAAGCGGGGGGUCGAAAGACCUCGCGCGAUUAGAGCGGCCGAGGGAUGGUUAGGUGGAUGGGGGGGUAAAAGCCCACCAAGGCGACGAUCAGUAGCGGGGCUGGGAGGGGAACCAGCCACACGGGGCCUGAGACACGGCCCAAAUUCCUACGGGAGGAAGGAGUGGGGAAUUUUGGAAAAUGGGGGCAACCCUGAGCAGGCAAUGCCGGGGGAGUGAAGAAGGCUUUCGGUUGGUAAAGCUCUUUUGUCAGGGAAGAAACGCCGGCUCUAACACAGUCCGGGAAUGACGGUACCUGAAGAAUAAGCACCGGCUAACUACGUGCCAGCAGCCGCCGUAA
rnacentral:rRNA from 1 species